GACGGAAAGACCCCGUGAACCUUUACUAUAGCUUGACACUGAACAUUGAGCCUUGAUGUGUAGGAUAGGUGGGAGGCUUUGAAGUGUGGACGCCAGUCUGCAUGGAGCCGACCUUGAAAUACCACCCUUUAAUGUUUGAUGUUCUAACGUGGACCCGUGAUCCGGGUUGCGGACAGUGUCUGGUGGGUAGUUUGACUGGGGCGGUCUCCUCCUAAAGAGUAACGGAGGAGCACGAAGGUUGGCUAAUCCUGGUCGGACAUCAGGAGGUUAGUGCAAUGGCAUAAGCCAGCUUGACUGCGAGCGUGACGGCGCGAGCAGGUGCGAAAGCAGGUCAUAGUGAUCCGGUGGUUCUGAAUGGAAGGGCCAUCGCUCAACGGAUAAAAGGUACUCCGGGGAUAACAGGCUGAUACCGCCCAAGAGUUCAUAUCGACGGCGGUGUUUGGCACCUCGAUGUCGGCUCAUCACAUCCUGGGGCUGAAGUAGGUCCCAAGGGUAUGGCUGUUCGCCAUUUAAAGUGGUACGCGAGCUGGGUUUAGAACGUCGUGAGACAGUUCGGUCCCUAUCUGCCGUGGGCGCUGGAGAACUGAGGGGGGCUGCUCCUAGUACGAGAGGACCGGAGUGGACGCAUCACUGGUGUUCGGGUUGUCAUGCCAAUGGCACUGCCCGGUAGCUAAAUGCGGAAGAGAUAAGUGCUGAAAGCAUCUAAGCACGAAACUUGCCCCGA
rnacentral:rRNA from 1 species